CCAGGUCCAACUUGGCAUUUCUUGGCUGUAUCUCUGAAGGAAAGUCAUCUUAAUCUCUAUGAGCCUCCAUUUCCUCAGCUGUAAAAUGGGAAGAUCUUCCUCACACUGCUGUGACCCCACGUUAUCAAGAAAAGUACAGGAAAUCUGCCGUUGGGAGAGCGGCAGCACCCAUGUGGAGUGCCACUUUCUGAUCUGGGACUUAAACAACAUUGCUGUUUUCCUCCUUGCUCCAAGUCAUCCAUUUUGACAAUUUUAUAUCAGCAUGGACCCUUCACCAAGACUGAAAUAACUCUGUUAUUGAGGUGGGAAUCUUUCUAUUAAUGCAUUUAUUUAGUAUUUCAUUCCACAGACAUUUAGUGAGUGCCUGCUGUGUGUCAUCCAUUGUGACAGUGUUGGGAACACGGAGAUGAAUAAAACAAGGCCCCUGUCCUGGGAGAGCCGAGAGGCCACCUGUCAGCUGACAUCUUAGGGAGGACACCAUCUACAUCCAACCCUGACUACUGAACACUUCCAGUUUCUUGGAAGAAAGAUUUUAAAAUCUUCAGAAAUGAGAACUCCUCCAAAUAGGAUUUUCAUUUGUUUCAUAUAUUUUAAAAUUUUAUAUUUUAAUAUGUAACAGUCAUAUGGUUUAAAUAUAAAAAUGACAUCAGUGGCUCAGUAAGAAGUUUUCCUCCUAAUUUUUCCCUAACAGUUCCCAAUUUCUGAUAUAAAAAAUGUUAUAUCCUUGCAGGAUUUACUUAGGUAAAUACAUGUUCUUAGUUUUCCUCUUCAUUAUUCCAAAGGUUGUUUACUGCAAGCAUGGUUUUUCUUGCUCAUACAUCCUGGAGAUUGUCCCAUAUCCACACAGAGAAGGUUCCCCAUUUUUUUCUUACAGCCGCAAAGUGUUCCUUGUUCUAAACCAGGUUUCUAUUGAUAGUACUGGGUGGCUGGUCCUCAAUCUUUUGCUCUCAGACUGUGCCAUGUAUGUCCUUUCAGAGGGGGGCAGGUACAUCUGUAGGAUGGGUUCAAGGGUUUGUAAUUGAGAGAGAGAUUGCAAAUUGUCCUCCACAGAGGUUGCACUGCUUUCAUCCCCACCAGCAAUGUAUGAAAAGGCCUGUUUCCUGUUUUCCCUAUCAGGCUGAUAUUUAUUUAUUUAUUUGUUUAUUUACUUAUUUAUUAGAGCCAAGGUCUCACUCUGUCACCCACGCUGGAGUGCAAUGGCGUGAUCAUAGCUCUCUGCAGCCUCAAACUCCUGGGCUCAAGUGAUCCUCCUGCCUCAGCCUCCUGAUUAGCUGAGACUACAGAUAUGUGCUACCACACCCGACUAAUUUUUCACUUUUUGUGAAGACAGUGUCUCGCUAUGUUGCCCCGGGGUGUGGGGGGAGUUCUCUAACUCCCGGCCUCAAGCAAUCCUCCUGCCUCUACCUCCCAAAGUAUUGGGAUAAGCUAAUAUUUUUAAAGAGAAAGGAAGGAGGCAAUAUGAGGCCUCUAAAGAAGAGAGGUAGGAAGAAGGUGAAGCCCAGAUGCCUGGAGCACACAGAGCUGCAGCCACUGCCUGCAGCUUUGCUUAUGAGGGGGAUUGAGUUUCUUCAGGCCAUGAUGUUUGAUUUGUGUUUGGAGCAGUAAGCCUUACAGCUGAUAAAUGGUUUUUUUCUCCUGGGGGAGCACGAGACUCUAGGAAGAUAAUCUAUUAGGAGAACCUGAGGGAAGAGAGUUUAGUUGGUGCAUGUGGGUGUGAGGUUGUUUCUCGGUCCCUUCAGGCUGCUAUUGCAGAAUACCAUAGACUGUGUGGCUUAGAAACAACAGAACUUUAUUUCUUACAGUUCUGGAGGGUGGGAAAUCCAAGAUUGAGGUGCCAUCAGAUUCGGUGUCUGGUGAGAGCCUGUUUCCUGGCUCAUAGACAGCACCUCUCACUGUCCUCACCUGGUGGAAGGGUGUCGCUGGGGACUGAGUGUCUUCAUUUUUAUCAGUGCUUCUUUUGUAAGGGCACUAAUGCCCUUGUGCGGGCUCCACCCCCAUGACCUAAUCACCUCCCAAACAGCAUCACCUCAGGGAUGAAGAUUUCAACAUGUGAAUUGUGGGGGACACAAGCAUUCAGAACAUAGCAG
rnacentral:lncRNA from 10 species